rnacentral:misc_RNA from 1 species
CGAGCCACGCCUCUUGCAAGUGACGUGUAGCUGUACCGCAGAAGCCUUUACUUUUCUGUGCUGUGUUGAACGGAGGGGUGGUGGAGGCCGGCGUCACUCCUCUGUUGCUGUUUUGUGCGUGUGUGUGUGUGUGUGCUUUCCACCGCACUGCACGUCUAUUCCCUUUCGGCGGCGCAGCAGAACGGCGUUCGGAGAAUGCGGAAGGGUCCUCCCACCUCGUCUUGCUCUGUCGGAGUAGCUUUUUGCACGCCCAGUGAACCUUGCAACAUCCUCUGGCCUCGGACGCCUACUACCUGUGGCGUGGUGCACUGAUAAGAGAGCGGGGUAGCGGGGAGCGACCACGGGUUUGCCUCCGCCUCUGCACCGUCACGCAACCAAGAUGAGGCACCGCCUGGCGGAGGGAGCGCCCAAGUAAUCCAAAAGGUCGAUGCCCUUCUUUGGUGUAGAUGACAUCCUCUUUUUGCUGGCCUCGACGAAGGCGCUGCUGUGGGCGAAGCGGGCCGAUGUCGUGGAGCCUGGCGUCUACACGACAGUCAACAUCCUCACAGAGGACUCUCAAGAAGCUGCGCGCCGUGCCGCAGCGGCCGGCGCUGAGCAAGGGAGCACGCCGACACUGCUGCUCAAGGGCUUCGAGCUGCAGGCAGAGGAGGCCAACCUUCUCUACUUUCAGAACUUUGCCAGGCAAGUGGAAACGCGGUUUCGCCCUGAGCUGGCAGCCCUGAUCAGCGCACCAGACGCUGCCGACAGAAGCGGCGCGUCCGCUUCGGCGCCGCUGCUCGUGAAGGAAAGUGUCCACACGCAGUUCCGUGAAACCCCUGUGGUGUACCAAGUCCCUCAAGUACCGCACCGCCACUACAACCUUCACAAGGGGCGCCCUCACGUUUCCUCGCUGGCCACCGCCUCCGAGGAAGAUGUCAAGGAGCGCAUUGCGAGCUACUCGGUUGCCGAGGUGCAGGCACUCUUCUGCAAGAUGGAGCGGGAGGCGUUGUGGCAGGCGGUCAUCCAUGUCAGCUACGGCAUCGAUCAGGCAAGGCAACAGCCGCGCUACCUCAACCAGCACAACGUCGAAUGUGCGAUGCGCACACUGCUGAACACGUCUCACGCGGGCAUGGCCCUCAUCUACUACUUCCGCUUUGGCGAAGACAUGCUUGUCUCGGACGAAAUAUUAGUGGCGCUCUUUCAUGCCUGUCGGAAUGACGAGCAGCUCAGCCUGAAACUGUGCCACGUGCUGCAGUCUUUCCAGUCGCAGUGGACCCCGACGGUGUGCGCCUGUUGCCUCACCACCGCAGCACGCUUCGACUACGAGCAAGCCAUAAGGCUUUACCACGCCUACAUGGAGACGCAGCGCAGCCAGCAGGUGGCCUCGCAAGGCAUGCUGCGCCCCGUGUUAGCCGCCCCCGCGCUUCUGCGCGAGACCGGCGUUGCGGCCGCGCCGGCGCAGCUGCAGCUGCAGCUGCACUACCUGUAUCACGUCAUCAUUCCACUCGUUGUCGCGCACGACCCGGCGAGUGCGGAUACCUACGUGGCAGAUAUGCUGGUAAAGGACGCGGAGUCCGCGCCAGAUGUGCUGCUCAAGUGCCUCGGUUUCAGAAAGGGUCAAGAGCUCGCCUGGAGGUAUCUUGACGACACUACAAGCGGCGCCACUGAUUCGACGGCGGCGGACGUAGUCAAGCGAUGGGUACUGGCACAGAAGAGGGUACAGCGCACUGGCAGUGCCCCUCUCGACGUCGCUGGCAUGGCCAUUCACCUGUACCGACUGCGGCCGUCGGCUAUGAACAUGAACACAGUGCUGAAGCUGUGCACCGAGUGCGUGGAUGCCAGGGAGGGCGAGGCAGUGAAGAUGACCUCCACCGGCGUGGCACAACACGAUUUGGGCACCACAGCUUCUCCAAGGAACGCAGCGCCUUUGUCUGCCACACUUAAACGGUUGGCGAGUGGGCGAGUGACGGUGCUGACGCACCUUCUGCUUCGCAUGCCUCUCCAAUCCGAGCUCGAUGCCACCGUGUUGGCGCGCACCAUCACCGAGCAGCACGCGUCCUGGGGGCUCGCCACGCAGUUCCUCUCUGUGAUGCUGCGGCGCAAGUGCUUCAACGUUGUACCGAGUAUUGCGGCGCACGUCGCCCGCCAGGGACAGUGGGCGACAGCGGCCAAAUCUAUGGCCAUCUAUCUCAGCAAUCAGCGGGCGGCCAUGACAGUAAAGGAGGCGAAGCUGUGUAUCGAUUCGUGCGUGCACGCAGGGCAGUGGUCCAGCGCACUGUUCUGGGUGGAGCGGGCGCAUGCAAAGGGUCUCGCCCUCGGCUCCUCCACCUACAACCUCGUCCUCGGAGUGAGUCGCCACUGCAGUUUUGAGGCAGCGGAGCGCGUUGUGACGGCAAUGCACGACGUCGGUGCUUCCUGCUCGGAGCAGGGCAUACUCGACCUUAUCGAGAUCGCCGCCCAUCGAGGGAAGGUGGCGAAUGCGCUGUCUGUUCUGCGCCAUCACAGCAAUGUUGAACGGAAACCGUGACGGUUUGCGAGCGCAUACUAUGAGUAUGUUGUAUAUCGGUGUCUGUAUGUCUGACGUAGAUUUCGCUAACGUAUGUAUGUUUGCCGUUUUGUGCGCGCGCUGCACGUGCUGCCUU